UACGGGGGGGGCAAGCGUUGUUCGGAAUUACUGGGCGUAAAGGGUUCGUAGGUGGCCAACUCAGUCAGACGUGAAAUCCCUCAGCUCAACUGGGGAACUGCGUCUGAUACUAGAUGGCUUGAGUGCAGGAGAGGAACGCGGAAUUCCAGGUGUAGCGGUGAAAUGCGUAGAUAUCUGGAGGAACACCGGUGGCGAAGGCGGCAUCCUGGACCAAUAUUGACGCUGAGGAGCGAAAGCCAGGGGAGCAAACGGG
rnacentral:rRNA from 1 species